GACGAACGCUGGCGGCGUGCUUAACACAUGCAAGUCGAACGGAAAGGCCUGCUUUCCCUUGUGGAUUGCGGGUACUCGAGUGGCGAACGGGUGAGUAGCACGUGAGUGAUCUGCCCCCAACUUGGGUAUAAGCCUGGGAAACUGGGUCUAAUUCCCGAUAGGACUGCAGGGUGGUGCCUGUGGUGGAAAACGAUUUUCUAGUGGUUGGGGAUGAGCUCGCGGCCUAUCAGCUUGUUGGUGGGGUAAUGGCCUACCAAGGCGGCGACGGGUAGCCGGCCUGAGAGGGUGGACGGCCACAUUGGGACUGAGAUACGGCCCAGACUCCUACGGGAGGCAGCAGUGGGGAAUAUUGCACAAUGGGCGGAAGCCUGAUGCAGCGACGCCGCGUGGGGGAUGACGGCCUUCGGGUUGUAAACUCCUUUCGACCGCGAGGAAGCCACCUGGUUGGAAGGGUGGUGACGGUAGUGGUAAAAGAAGCACCGGCUAACUACGUG
rnacentral:rRNA from 1 species